rnacentral:rRNA from 1 species
GAUGAACGCUGGCGGCGUGCCUAAUACAUGCCAGUCGAACGAAACUUCUUUAUCACCGAGUGCUUGCACUCACCGAUAAAGAGUUGAGUGGCGAACGGGUGAGUAACACGUGGGCAACCUGCCCAAAAGAGGGGGAUAACACUUGGAAACAGGUGCUAAUACCGCAUAACCAUAGUUACCGCAUGGUAACUAUGUAAAAGGUGGCUAUACUACCGCUUUUGGAUGGGCCCGCGGCGCAUUAGCUAGUUGGUAGGGUAAAGGCUUACCAAGGCAAUGAUGCGUAGCCGAAUUGAGAGGUUGAUCGGCCACAUUGGGACUGAGACACGGCCCAAACUCCUACGGGAGGCAGCAGUAGGGAAUCUUCCACAAUGGGCGAAAGCCUGAUGGAGCAACGCCGCGUGGGUGAAGAAGGUCUUCGGAUCGUAAAACCCUGUUGUUAGAGAAGAAAGUGCGUGAGAGUAACUGUUCACGUUUCGACGGUAUCUAACCAGAAAGCCACUGCUAACUACGU